UACAAAUAGCAAUGGCAUAAACGACGGUGGAUGAAGUGUGUUGGCAACCCACGUUAGUGCUAAAGAACGGAGGGGUGGAGUGUGGGGAAUUAGAGAGAGUGAGGGGGAAAAGGGUUCCCUAAAAAGAGUUAAAUUUUUAAGGUGCAGUAUUACAUUUCCCUUUUUGUUAUAGAAGAGAAGCGAGAGCAGGGGUCGAGGUGGAAUAGGAGGAAUGUCGACUCACUUUAACUCGAGCCACCGGGCGACAUGGUUGCUGGCGGUGGCGAUGAUGUUUUGGUCAUGAACGAAAGCGACGAUGGCGGUGAUGGCACGGAGGGCAGAGGUGCAACGACAUCUCAAGAAGCUCAACAAGCAAGUCGUCAAGAGCAUCAAGAGCCCAGAUGGAGACAUCAUAGACUGUGUGCACAUCUCAAACCAACCAGCCUUUAAUCAUCUCUUGCUCAAGAACCACACCGUUCAGGCCAAGAAAGCUCAUACUGUUGGCCUUCAUUGUGUGGACUAGAGCCCUCAUAAUUAGAAUCUUAUUUUGACUAGGUGAGGAUGUGUCUCUGGACACGACGGAGGGCUUAUGGAUGGAGUAGGCGAGGAGGCGGGAUGGAUGCAUGGCAUUGUCCGGGAAUUAGGAGUGCUGAGCUUAUGUUCUCCAUGGGAAGGGUUUUUUUGCUUUGGUGUUGUCAAGAGUUCUUGGUGGGGUUUUCUCUUUGUUAAACUCUGGUGUGGGAUGAUGACUUUUACUUCCGAUAAAAUAAAUGUUUUAUUUAGUAUCAUGUCAUAAGUAUAUGCUUAGUUUGUGUUUGGUGGGUUGAUGAAAUAAACAAAAAAAAAACUGAGGGUUGGUUACGGGAUGUUUCAGUUACUAAAAUAUAUUUAAUUAUUUUUUUGCCUUGGCUA